GACGAACGCUGGCGGCGUGCUUAACACAUGCAAGUCGAACGGAAAGGCCCUGCUUUUGUGGGGUGCUCGAGUGGCGAACGGGUGAGUAACACGUGAGUAACCUGCCCUUGACUUUGGGAUAACUUCAGGAAACUGGGGCUAAUACCGGAUAGGAGCUCCUGCUGCAUGGUGGGGGUUGGAGAGUUUCGGCGGUUGGGGAUGGACUCGCGGCUUAUCAGCUUGUUGGCGGGGUAGUGGCUUACCAAGGCUUUGACGGGUAGCCGGCCUGAGAGGGUGACCGGCCACAUUGGGACUGAGAUACGGCCCAGACUCCUACGGGAGGCAGCAGUGGGGAAUAUUGCACAAUGGGCGGAAGCCUGAUGCAGCAACGCCGCGUGCGGGAUGACGGCCUUCGGGUUGUAAACCGCUUUCGCCUGUGACGAAGCGUGAGUGACGGUAAUGGGUAAAGAAGCACCGGCUAACUACGUG
rnacentral:rRNA from 1 species